GGUUGGUCUGAGUGCAGUAAUAUUUACAACUGAUUUAUCACAGCCAGUUACAGAUAUGUUUGUUUCUUCUCCACUCUCCCUGCUUCACUUGACUUAAA
rnacentral:Y_RNA from 1 species